rnacentral:rRNA from 1 species
CGGAGAGGGCGCAUGAGAAACGGCUACCACUUCUAAGGAAGGCAGCAGGCGCGCAAAUUACCCAAUCCUGACUCAGGGAGGUAGUGACAAGAAAUAACAAUAAACCGGCUUAUGCCGGUUUAAUUGGAAUGAGUACAAUUUAAACAUCUUAACGAGGAACAAUUGGAGGGCAAGUCUGGUGCCAGCAGCCGCGGUAAUUCCAGCUCCAAUAGCGUAUACUAAAGUUGUUGCAGUUAAAAAGCUCGUAGUUGGAUUUCUGCGGGGACGGAGCGGCCGGACGCAACUUGCGUCUCGAGCUAGCGCUUUCCCCACAUCCUGCCGCGAACCGUGCUACCAUUAGCUUGGUGGCGCUGGGGAUCGGCUCGAUUACUUUGAGAAAAAUAGAGUGUUCAAAGCAGGCCACACGCCUUGAAUAAGUUAGCAUGGAAUAAUGAUUAAGGACUUCGGUUCUAUUUUGUUGGUGUUCGGGACUGAAGUAAUGAUUGAUAGGGACAGUUGGGGCGGUCUGUAUUCCAAAGCGAGAGGUGAAAUUCUUAGACCUUCGGAAGACAAACAGCUGCGAAAGCGUUCCGCAAGGAUGUUCCCUUUGAUCAAGAACGAAAGUUGGGGGAUCGAAGACGAUCAGAUACCGUCGUAGUCUCAACUAUAAACUAUACCAGCUAGGGAUCGGCCAACGUUUAACUUUAUCGACUUGGUCGGCACCUUAUGAGAAAUCAAAGCAUCUGGGUUCCGGGGGGAGUAUGAUCGCAAGGCUGAAACUUAAAGGAAUUGACGGAAGGGCACCACCAGGCGUGGAGCCUGUGGCUUAAUUUGACUCAACACGGGAAAACUUACCAGGUCCAGACAUAGGAAGGAUUGACAGAUUGAUAGCUCUUUCUUGAUUCUGUGGGUGGUGGUGCAUGUCCGUUUUUAGUCGGUGAAGUGAUUUGUCUGCUUAAUUGCGUUAACGGACGAGACCCCAGCCUGCUAAAUAGCGCGGCCGAGCUUUGCUCGGUGCGAGCUUCUUAGAGGGACCAUGAUGCGCGAUAGCACAAGGAAGUUUGGGGCAACAACAGGUCUGUGAUGCCCUUAGAUGUUCUGGGCCGCACACGGGCUACACUGGCGCCUGCAACGAGCAUAUCAGCUGGCCCGAGAGGGUCUUGGCUAAUCUUUGGAACCGGCGCCGUGCUUGGGAUUGACCAUUGCAAUUGUUGGUCAUGCAAUGAGGAAUGCCUUGUAAACGCGAGUCAUCAGCUCGCAUUGAAUACGUCCCUGCCCUUUGUACACACCGCCCGUCGCUCCUACCGAUGAAUGUUCCGAUGAAAUUUUCGGAGAGCGCCAGAGAACGGGGCUCUGCCUUGCAGAUCUGGAGGCUCAAAGUCACUUAAAUCUGAACAUUUCGAGGAAGGAGAAGUCGUAACAAGGUAACC